rnacentral:rRNA from 1 species
UAGGGAAUCUUCGGCAAUGGACGCAAGUCUGACCGAGCAACGCCGCGUGAGUGAAGAAGGUUUUCGGAUCGUAAAACUCUGUUGUUAGAGAAGAACAAGGAUGAGAGUAGAAUGUUCAUCCCUUGACGGUAUCUAACCAGAAAGCCACGGCUAACUACGUGCCAGCAGCCGCGGUAAUACGUAGGUGGCAAGCGUUGUCCGGUUUUAUUGGGCGUAAAGCGAGCGCAGGCGGUUUCUUAAGUCUGAUGUGAAAGCCCCCGGCUCAACCGGGGAGGGUCAUUGGAAACUGGGAAGCUUGAGUGCAGAAGAGGAGAGUGGAAUUCCAUGAGUAGCGGUGAAAUGCGUAGAUAUAUGGAGGAACACCAGUGGCGAAGGCGGCUCUAUGGUCUGUAACUGACGCUGAGGCUCGAAAGCGUAGGGAGCAAACAGG